AGCAGCAGAGGGCGUCACAAGUAUCUUAGGCCCUCGCCUUUUACUAGGGCCUACCGUGUGGUGUCCUCAUUCAAAUGCUGCGCAACAAUCUUUGGAACCUGCACUGUAUAGUGUGU
rnacentral:snRNA from 1 species